rnacentral:rRNA from 1 species
CCUACGGCGGCUGCAGUGGGGAAUAUUUGACAAUGGGCGAAAGCCUGAUCCAGCCAUGCCGCGUGUGUGAAGAAGGCCUUCGGGUUGUAAAGCACUUUCAGUGGGGAAGAAAGCCUUGGGGCUAAUACCCUCGAGGAAGGACAUCACCCACAGAAGAAGCACCGGCUAACUCCGUGCCAGCAGCCGCGGUAAUACGGAGGGUGCGAGCGUUAAUCGGAAUUACUGGGCGUAAAGCGCGCGUAGGCGGUCUGAUAAGCCGGUUGUGAAAGCCCCGGGCUCAACCUGGGAACGGCAUCCGGAACUGUCAGGCUAGAGUGCAGGAGAGGAAGGUAGAAUUCCCGGUGUAGCGGUGAAAUGCGUAGAGAUCGGGAGGAAUACCAGUGGCGAAGGCGGCCUUCUGGACUGACACUGACGCUGAGGUGCGAAAGCGUGGGUAGCAAACAGGAUUAGAUACCCGAGUAGUC